rnacentral:tRNA from 1 species
UGGGGUGUAGCCAAGCGGUAAGGCAAUGGAUUUUGAUUCCAUCAUGCGUAGGUUCGAUCCCUGCCACCCCAGUCA